UGCGGGGUGGAGCAGCCUGGUCAGCUCGCUUGGCUCAUAACCAAGAGGUCGCAAGUUCAAAUCUUGCCCCCGCGACCA
rnacentral:tRNA from 2 species